rnacentral:misc_RNA from 1 species
AGUCGUAACAAGGUUUCCGUAGGUGAACCUGCGGAAGGAUCAUUACCGAGUGAGGGUCCCUCGGGGCCCAACCUCCCAUCCGUGUUGUCCUGACACCUGUUGCUUCGGCGGGCCCGCCGUGGUUCACGCCCCGGCCGCCGGGGGGUUCACGCCCCCGGGCCCGCGCCCGCCGAAGACCCCUGGAACGCUGCCUGGAAGGUUGCCGUCUGAGUAUACAAUCAAUCAAUUAAAACUUUCAACAACGGAUCUCUUGGUUCCGGCAUCGAUGAAGAACGCAGCGAAAUGCGAUAAGUAAUGUGAAUUGCAGAAUUCCGUGAAUCAUCGAAUCUUUGAACGCACAUUGCGCCCCCUGGCAUUCCGGGGGGCAUGCCUGUCCGAGCGUCAUUGCUAACCCUCCAGCCCGGCUGGUGUGUUGGGCCGCCGUCCCCCCUCCCCGGGGGACGGGCCCGAAAGGCAGCGGCGGCGUCGCGUCCGGUCCUCGAGCGUAUGGGGCUCUGUCACACGCUUCAGUAGAACCGGCCGGCUUGCUGGCCAUCACCUAUAUUUUUCUCUUAGGUUGACCUCGGAUCAGGUAGGGAUACCCGCUGAACUUAAGCAUAUCAAUAAGCGGAGGA